rnacentral:rRNA from 1 species
GAUGAACGCUAGCUACAGGCUUAACACAUGCAAGUCGAGGGGCAGCGCAGUGUAGCAAUACAUGGGCGGCGACCGGCGCACGGGUGCGUAACGCGUAUCCAACCUUCCCGUUACUCAGGGAUAGCCUUCCGAAAGGGAGAUUAAUACCUGAUGGUGUUCAAAUUCCGCAUGUUAUUUGAACUAAAGAUUUAUCGGUAACGGAUGGGGAUGCGUGACAUUAGAUAGUAGGCGGGGUAACGGCCCACCUAGUCUACGAUGUCUAGGGGUUCUGAGAGGAAGGUCCCCCACACUGGAACUGAGACACGGUCCAGACUCCUACGGGAGGCAGCAGUGAGGAAUAUUGGUCAAUGGUCGGAAGACUGAACCAGCCAAGUAGCGUGAAGGAUGAAGGUUCUAUGGAUUGUAAACUUCUUUUAUACGGGAAUAAAACCUCCCACGUGUGGGAGCUUGUAUGUACCGUAUGAAUAAGCAUCGGCUAACUCCGUG